GAUUGUACAGAAAAGCAUAAAGGUUUAUAUAAGAAACUCUAAAAUGUUAACCACAGUCAAGCCCAUCUCUAACACUGAUUCAAGUACCUAACAAUAYUUAGUCAGCACAGAGUCAAUUUAGUAUUUAAUUUAAACAAAAUGGCAUUUCACUCACAUUUACUGUACGAAACGCGACAGGAACAACUUUCACUAUGGUAACACUUUUCUGUAAAUCUGGUACCCUCACUUUGAUAAAAUGAAUUUUAGAAUACUUUGGAAAAGUAUUCAAUAUAACAUUACACACAGCUUCACUACUURAGGUCAAGUAAACAUGAAUUAAGGCACUAUCAUUAUUUKACUAUAAAACAUCAGCAUCAACCUAAAGGGACAUGUCCAGCAGCAGCUUGACCGCGGGGAUGACAUAAACACCCCUUUCCCCACCACAAUAUAAAUCUAAAGUAUAAAAUGUUUCCAUCUGCCAUGAAUUUGCCUUGAUCAGCCCGAGCUCUUAUCGCUGUAACACAAACCCUUGCGACAUCAUCAAAGUCGACAUGAUGUUGGUCCAGUUGACGACACCCGAAGCUGACUCUCAGCCGAUCAUGCCUUCACUCAACUGAGUUCGGCCCGAAAGGUGAACAAUGGUGGACAGAGAUGAUGCUGCUACCCCACGGUAAGAACCUGGAAAUCUUCAGAGGGAGAUGACGUGGCCACAAACAGUGCCUGGGACUCGUUCCAGUGCUACCGCUGACUAGAGAACAGCCAGGGUGUGGUCAAGACAACUUCAUCUURAGUGUGUCAGCUCUGCUGCACCUGGGAGCUAAAAGUUCUAAACGACCAUCAUCGAGUCCAUCKUCCAUCCUCAACCACUGCAACGAUUGGCCGGUCUGCUGAGAGGGUUAUUGGCUGCCACCUGCCCUCCAUUGAGGUCUCACAUGACUCCAGGGCAAGGAAGCAUGCAGAAAAGAUCAUUGCCGACCCCUUCCAACCUCUCUUCCAAGCGGUUCAGGUCAAUCACGACCAAACCCCACCUCCCCCCGCCGUGGCCCUCACCAACCGGCCAUCUGGUCCACCAUGAUUCUCUCAUCCACAGACUAUGCACCAUUAUCCAAUAACUGCACAUUGCUCUUUGCACAUCUCUUACGUGCAUAAUUUAUCAUGUAGCUUAUAGUUUAGUCUAAAGUUGUUUGUUUAAGGUGUUCAUAGUGUACAUACUGUAUGUGGAUUUGUGGAAAUUCUGCAUCUAUAUAUUUWGUCUGUUUAUGUUUAUUGUGGCAMCACCAUUUCAGAGUCAAGUUCCUGUACAUGCAAAAGUAUUUGGGGAAUAAAGCUGAUUCUGACAUGUUAACCUGAGUAUAGCUGGUUUAUCAUAUUCAUGUCAGUUUACAUUCUGUUAUUUGGGACUCGUCAUGUACUGUAUGAACUGUAGAAGGUAACAGAUUGUCCCCUUMGUGUCUUCAUAUAAUUCAAAAUCCCCAUGUGCCGUGUGUGUCCUUGGGCUUAGUACCCUAAAUAUUGGAUACUGCCUUAAAUUAGGGGACUCGUUUUUUUGCUAGAGCUGACUGCUUUCGUUUUA